rnacentral:rRNA from 1 species
GACGAACGCUGGCGGCGUGCUUAACACAUGCAAGUCGAACGGAAAGGCCCUGCUUUUGUGGGGUGCUCGAGUGGCGACCGGGUGAGUAACACGUGAGUAACCUGCCCUUGACUUUGGGAUAACUUCAGGAAACUGGGGCUAAUACCGGCUAGGAGCUCCUGCUGCAUGGUGGGGGUUGGAAAGUUUCGGCGGUUGGGGAUGGACUCGCGGCUUAUCAGCUUGUUGGUGGGGUAGUGGCUUACCAAGGCUUUGACGGGUAGCCGGCCUGAGAGGGUGACCGGCCACAUUGGGACUGAGGUACGGCCCAGACUCCUACGGGAGGCAGCAGUGGGGAAUAUUGCACAAUGGGCGGAAGCCUGAUGCAGCAACGCCGCGUGCGGGAUGACGGCCUUCGGGUUGUAAACCGCUUUCGCCUGUGACGAAGCGUGAGUGACGGUAAUGGGUAAAGAAGCACCGGCUAACUACGUG